UCGCUGGUAACGGCGGGGUCUGAAGGAAGCCGAAGGAAGAACAUGGAACGUAGCGCAAGCGAACCGGGGUUGGCUCUCCAGGUGGGUAACCCUGCAGUUAGUGGGAAAGCCCAAAAGCUGGAUAACCUGGGGAGUUAGGACGGACGGGUUCAGGUUCAGGCAGGCAGA
rfam:Moorella glycerini strain NMP genome assembly, contig: M_glycerini_NMP_DRAFT_scaffold-50